UAAGGAAUAUUGGUCAAUGGACGCAAGUCUGAACCAGCCAUGCCGCGUGAAGGAUUAAGGUCCUCUGGAUUGUAAACUUCUUUUAUCUGGGACGAAAAAAGGCGAUUCUUCGUCACUUGACGGUACCAGAUGAAUAAGCACCGGCUAACUCCGUGCCAGCAGCCGCGGUAAUACGGAGGGUGCAAGCGUUAUCCGGAUUCACUGGGUUUAAAGGGUCGUAGGCGGGCAGGUAAGUCAGUGGUGAAAUCCUAGAGCUUAACUCUAGAACUGCCAUUGAUACUAUCUGUCUUGAAUAUUGUGGAGGUAAGCGGAAUAUGUCAUGUAGCGGUGAAAUGCUUAGAUAUGACAUAGAACACCUAUUGCGAAGGCAGCUUACUACGCAUAUAUUGACGCUGAGGCACGAAAGCGUGGGAUCAAACAGGAUUAGAUACCCUGGUAGUCCACGCCUAAACGAUGAUUACUCGACAUUUGUGAUACACUAUAAGCGUCUGAGCGAAAGCAUUAAGUAAUCCACCUGGGGAAGUACGACCGCAAGGUUGAAACUCAAAUGAAUUGACGGGGUCAUAGCUGUUUCCUG
rnacentral:rRNA from 1 species